GAAUUAGACAAUAUGAAUGUGAAUAAAUAAGCAAAUGGAAGCUAUUUCUUAAAAUUUCUGCCAUUUUUGUUCCACAGUUCCACAGCAGCAGACUAAGAGUGACACUAUGAAAUAAGGUUACGUUUGGCUGUCAACUGUGCAAUGCUGUUGCUCAUUGCUGUAUCUGGCCACAUGAGCCUGAUAUGAUCCCUGAUGCCCUAUAGUACAGGACAAUAGCUUACAAAGUCUGGCGAGGCAGCACAAGGAGCAUCUGACCCCAGUCAGUGGCAUGUGACACGGGUUAGAUUUUCAUUCAUACCCUGAGCCUUGUAGAAAGGAAGCUGUUGUGCAAUAUGAGGAGGAGGGGAGAGAAGCCAUCAUUGAUAGAUGAAAAAGAGGAAGAAGCAUGACAGAAAUGAACACCACAUGACAGGAGGCCACCGCACAGGGAUUACAAGUUUCUCUCUCUCUCUCUCUCUCUCUCUCUCUCUCUGAAAGUAUUUUUACCAUCUAUAGAGUUCAUCUGAUCCUCUACAACUCAGCACACAGCAAGAUUUUGAAUGUGUCCUUUUGUUUCGUAUAGCUUAAGAGUAAGACUGUUGCCUAGCGACUACCCUGCAUUACAGCAUUACAACACAUACUUCAAGGCACAACCUCACGCCGUAACAGAACAACAAAGGGUAGAAUGGAGGGGGACUUAGGAGGUGGACAAGAUCCUUGCCCUGGCUCAUCGGCUCUCUGUCUCCACCCUGGGCUCCUCUCCCACCUGCUCCGCCACUGUCAGUCGGCCCUCUGGAGCCAUCAUGUUGUCCUUCUGUCUCCGUCCUGGCUCUUCCCUCCGUCUGAUCUGCCAUGGUUCCUCCUGAUCCCUCCAUGGCUCCUCUUUCCACCUGCCCUUCGCUGUCUUCUGGGAGUGCCACGGACAGGGAAACGAUCUCUGUGGUCGUGGCAGGACAGACAGACAGUUCAGGGCAGACGAACAGUUCAUAAAUGGUCACCUUGGCCAUAUUGGGACAGGCAGAGAGUUCAGAAGACAGGAGAGGAGGUGUGUCAGAAUAAUUCUUUAAGAUCCUCUGAGUACAGCUGCAGCUCACCCUCAGCGUUGGAACACCCUCCACGCCCUCGCUCUCCAUAA
ensembl:lncRNA